rnacentral:rRNA from 1 species
GAUGAACGCUGGCGGCGUGCUUAACACAUGCAAGUCGAACGAAGCACUUUAUUUGAUUUCCUUCGGGACUGAUUAUUUUGUGACUGAGUGGCGGACGGGUGAGUAACGCGUGGGUAACCUGCCUUGUACAGGGGGAUAACAGUUGGAAACGGCUGCUAAUACCGCAUAAGCGCACAGCAUCGCAUGAUGCAGUGUGAAAAACUCCGGUGGUAUAAGAUGGACCCGCGUUGGAUUAGCUAGUUGGUGAGGUAACGGCCCACCAAGGCGACGAUCCAUAGCCGACCUGAGAGGGUGACCGGCCACAUUGGGACUGAGACACGGCCCAAACUCCUACGGGAGGCAGCAGUGGGGAAUAUUGCACAAUGGGCGAAAGCCUGAUGCAGCGACGCCGCGUGAGCGAAGAAGUAUUUCGGUAUGUAAAGCUCUAUCAGCAGGGAAGAUAAUGACGGUACCUGACUAAGAAGCACCGGCUAACUACGUG